UACAGAGGAGCCAAGCGUUGUCCGGAUUGACUGGGCGUAAAGCGCACGCAGGCGGAUGCGCGCGUGGGGUGUGAAAUCUGGCCGCUUAACGGCCAGGCGCCAUCCCAUACGGCGCGUCUGGAGUGAUGCAGAGGUCGAUGGAAUUGCCGGUGUAGUGGUGAAAUGCGUAGAGAUCGGCAGGAACACCCAGGGGGAAACCAGCCGAC
rnacentral:rRNA from 1 species